rnacentral:rRNA from 1 species
UACCAGCUCCCCGAGUGGUGGGGACGAUUAUUGGGCUUAAAGCGUCCGUAGCCGGCUUGGCAAGUCUUUCGUUAAAUCCAGCGGCUUAACCGCUGGGCUGCGGGAGAUACUGUCAGGCUAGGGGGCGGAAGAGGCCGACGGUAUUCUCGGGGUAGGGGUGAAAUCCUAUAAUCCCGGGAAGACCACCAGUGGCGAAGGCGGUCGGCUAGUACGCGCUCGACGGUGAGGGACGAAAGCUGGGGGAGCGAACCGGAUUAGAUACCCGGGUAGUCCCAGCUGUAAACGAUGCGAGCUAGGUGUUGGGGCGGCUACGUGCCGCUUCGGUGCCGCAGGGAAGCCAUUAAGCUCGCCGCCUGGGAAGUACGGCCGCAAGGCUGAAACUUAAAGGAAUUGGCAGGGGAGCACUACAAGGCGUGAAGCUUGCGGUUC